rnacentral:pre_miRNA from 1 species
CCUAGUUUCCGUGUUCAAUAUUUAACCGUCCGUCUUAUUUAAAAAAUUAUGAAAAAAAAUUAAAAAGACAAAUCACGCAUAAAAUAUUAAUCAUGUUUUAUCAUCUAACAACAAUAAAAAUACGAAUUAUAAAAAAAAUUCAUAUAAGACGGACAGUUAAAGUUGGAUACGGAAACCCAGGGUUUGACUUUUU